AUUGAACGCUGGCGGCAGGCCUAACACAUGCAAGUCGAGCGGAUGAAGUUAGCUUGCUCCUGGAUUCAGCGGCGGACGGGUGAGUAAUGCCUAGGAAUCUGCCUGUUAGUGGGGUAUAACGUCCGGAAACGGGCGCUAAUACCGCAUACGUUCUUAGGGAGAAAGUGGGGGAUCUUCGGACCUCACGCUAUCAGAUGAGCCUAGGUCGGAUUAUCUAGUUGGUGGGGUAGAGGCCUACCAAGGCGACGAUCCGUAACUGGUCUGAGAGGAUGAUCAGUCACACUGGAACUGAGAAACGGUCCAGACUCCUACGGGAGGAAGCAGUGGGGAAUAUUGGACAAUGGGGGAAAGCCUGCUCCAGACCUGCCGGGGGUGGGAAGAGGGUCUUGGGACGGUAAAGCACGUUGUGUGGGGAGGAAGAGCAGUAAGUUAAUAACUUGAUGUUUUGACGUUACCAACAGAAUAAGCAACGGCUAACUUCGUG
rnacentral:rRNA from 1 species